ACAAAGUAAUUUUGAAAAUUCUUCAAUAGAUUGUGAUUGUUCAACUAUAUAAAUAUAUACUAUCUAGAAUCUCUUAAAGAGAUGGAUGAAAUGUAAAUUAACAUAUUUAAUAUUUAUUAAGAAACUAUAUACGGUAUGUAAUCUAUGUCGAAUUAUUUAUAUAACUGCUUAAGUAUAUUUUGUAUUAUUUCUAGAUUUUAUCUUCUGGUUAUAUUCCAAAAUUACAGACUUAUAUUGCUGUUUUUAAUAUUGCUCUUUUAAAUAAAAGAGAAAGUAAAGUAAUUUUUUUUAUUUUUGUGGAUGUGAUUG
rnacentral:lncRNA from 1 species